UACAGAGGGUGCAAGCGUUAAUCGGAAUUACUGGGCGUAAAGCGUGCGUAGACGGUUAUGUAAGUCAGAUGUGAAAGCCCCGGGCUCAACCUGGGAAUUGCAUUUGAGACUGCAUAGCUAGGGUGCGGAAGAGGGAAGCGGAAUUUCCGGUGUAGCGGUGAAAUGCGUAGAUAUGCGGAGGAACACCGAUGGCGAAGCAGCUCUCUGGGACGGUACGUGACGCUGAGACGCGAAAGCGUGGGGAGCGAACGAGG
rnacentral:rRNA from 1 species